rnacentral:rRNA from 1 species
UACGUAGGGUCCGAGCGUUGUCCGGAAUUACUGGGCGUAAAGAGCUCGUAGGUGGUUUGUCGCGUUGUUCGUGAAAACUCACAGCUCAACUGUGGGCGUGCGGGCGAUACGGGCAGACUAGAGUACUGCAGGGGAGACUGGAAUUCCUGGUGUAGCGGUGGAAUGCGCAGAUAUCAGGAGGGAACACCCGGUGGCGAAGGCGGGUCUCUGGGCCAUUACUGACGCU